CAGCAGCCGCGGGAAUACGGAGGGUGCGAGCGUUAAUCGGAAUUACUGGGCGUAAAGCGUACGCAGGCGGUCUGUUAAGUCAGAUGUGAAAUCCCCGGGCUUAACCCGGGAACUGCAUUUGAAACUGGCAGGCUAGAGUCUCGUAGAGGGGGGUAGAAUUCCAGGUGUAGCGGUGAAAUGCGUAGAGAUCUGGAGGAAUACCGGUGGCGAAGGCGGCCCCCUGGACGAAGACUGACGCUCAGGUACGAAAGCGUGGGGAGCAAACAGGAUUAGAUACCCGGGUAGUCCCUGUCUCUUAUAC
rnacentral:rRNA from 1 species